UACGUAGGGAGCAAGCGUUGUCCGGAUUUAUUGGGCGUAAAGAGCUCGUAGGCGGUUUAGAAAGUCAGGUGUGAAACCUCCAGGCUCAACCUGGAGACGCCACUUGAUACUUCUAUGACUUGAGUUCGGUAGGGGACCAUGGAAUUCCUGGUGUAGCGGUGAAAUGCGCAGAUAUCAGGAGGAACACCGGUGGCGAAAGCACUCUGCUGGGCCGACACUGACACUGAGAGACGAAAGCUAGGGGAGCGAAUGGG
rnacentral:rRNA from 1 species